rnacentral:rRNA from 1 species
CCUACGGGUGGCAGCAGUGGGGAAUAUUGGACAAUGGGGGCAACCCUGAUCCAGCGAUGCCGCGUGAGUGAAGAAGGCCUUCGGGUCGUAAAGCUCUUUAGGCUGGGAAGAAGGAUGAGUGGUGCAUAGCCACGCAUCUUGACGGUACCGGCAGAAUAAGCACCGGCAAACUCUGUGCCAGCAGCCGCGGUAAUACAGAGGGUGCGAGCGUUAAUCGGAGUUACUGGGUGUAAAGGGCGCGUAGGCGGCAUGAUGUGUGCGAUGUGAAAGCCCCG